rnacentral:rRNA from 1 species
UACGUAGGGGGCAAGCGAUACUCGGAAUCACUAGGCGUAAAGCGCAGGUAGGCGGUUUGGUAAGUCCUUUGUGAAAGCUCCCGGCUCAACUGGGAGAGGUCAAGGGAAACUACCGGACUAGAGUGUGGUAGGGGAUACUGGAAUUCCUGGUGUAGCGGUGAAAUGCGCAGAUAUCAGGAGGAACACCGAUGGCGAAGGCAGGUCUCUGGGCCACUACUGACGCUGAGAAGCGAAAGCAUGGGGAGCAAACAGG